rnacentral:rRNA from 1 species
AUUGAACGCUGGCGGCAGGCUUAACACAUGCAAGUCGAACGAGUGGCGGACGGGUGAGUAAUGCUUGGGAAUCUAGCUGAUGGAGGGGGAUAACUACUGGAAACUGUAGCUAAUACCGCAUCCCAUAGGAUGAGCCCAGGUGGGAUUAGCUAGUUGGUGUGGUAAAGGCUCACCAAGCCGACGAUCCCUAGCUGGUCUGAGAGGAUGACCAGCCACACUGUGACUGAGACAUGGCCCAGACUCCUACGGGAGGCAGCAGUGGGGAAUAUUGCGCAAUGGGCGCAAGCUGAUGCAGCCAUGGCGCGUGAAUGAAGAAGGCCUUCGGGUUGUAAAGUUCUUGCUGUAGGGAGGCGUUAAUUACAGAAGAAGCACCGGCUAACUCCGUGCCAGCAGCCGCGGUAAGAC